AGUACUUUGGAGAGGCUCAGGGUGAGACGAUUUGAGAACCCGCUGUUGCGCAUUUCAAGCUAAAAACCACUUGGAAGUUUCCUUCCUUUCCCAAAAGAAAGGAUCACUCUUGGUAUUAUCUCUCCUAUCUGCUGCUACAAUCAGACAUGAAUCAAAGAGAACACAGAAAUGCUGGACCACUCUGACCACCGUUGUGUAAGACCACACAGAGGAACCACUGACAUCCACAAGAAGCACAUGGACAAUUUCAACAGAACGGAGAAAACAAUGAAAAUGAACACAAUCUGGAUACAAGUAUUUAAAAAACACCAGAUCAAGACAGUAAAUAAAAAACACCACUCAGAAACAGGGGGAACUCCAGACAGCAAACAGUCAAGUGCCAGUUAACACCUUCCAAACAGAGGGUGCCUCCAGGCAACAACAGCCUGGGGCUGCGAUGGUGCAGUGUGUUAAACGGUAGAACUGUUGAAUCUGCUGACCUAAAUGUUGGCAGUUCGAAGCCGUGGGUCAGGGUGAGCUCCUGCUGUUAGCCCUAGCUUCUGCCAACCUAGAAGUUCAAAAACAUGCAAAUGUGACUAGAUCAAUAGGUACCGCUUCGAAGGGAGGGUAGUAAAGGUACCCAUGCAGCCCAUGCCGACAAUGUGAUCAGGUGGUGUCUACAGACAACAGGAUCCUUGGCUUGGACAUGGAACAAGAGCACCUCCCCAUGGCCAGAGUUGAGAAACAUCUCCAGAAAGCUGGAGAUGGAAGGGGAAGCCUUUACCUUUAUUCUGUGUAUUUGUGUGUCAUUGUUUUUCCACUGUAUGAAAAGGCAUUGAAUGUUUGCCUAUCUGUGUAUGUUGUAAUCCGCUCUCAGUUCCCUUGAGGAGAUAGAGCGGAAUACAAAUAAAGUGUUGUUGUUGUUGCUAUUA